AGGUCAUUUUGGGGGCAAUUCUUAGUAGGCCCUUGUAUCUCUCCCACUCCUCAUAAAGUGAUUCUCCUCCCAUUUGUUCAAAAUUGGCAAUUGCCUUCUUCAACUU